UAUUUUAUAAAUUGGAAUGUUUAAGAUUAGUCAAAAACUAUUUUUUUACCCUGGAAUGCUGCACUAGAAGGCAUUUUUUGUUUCCUUUUAGCCUCCCAAGAGGGAUGCAGUUGCUCUGGUUUUUGAGGUGUUUGGUGCUCCGUAAAAGCAUUUUCACGAGCAGCACGUUUAGCUUGCCUUUCUUCAUACUUUCUCUGUCUUUCUUCACGAAUACUCCUUUCUUCAGUCGCUUUUUUUAUCAAAUGGUUAGCACCUUUACCAUACUUUUUUUCCCAAAUAGCUUGUCUAGCUCUUUGACCACGACGAUUUUUACGCUUCGGGAUAUCUACUUCUUCUAACUCCUUUUCGACAAAUUCAUCAUCACUUUCGACUGGAUCUAAGAAGCCCGCUGUAAGGGCA